rnacentral:tRNA from 17 species
UCCGCAGUAGCUCAGUGGUAGAGCAGCCGACUGUUAAUCGGCUGGUCGUAGGUUCGAAUCCUACCUGCGGAGCCA